rnacentral:rRNA from 1 species
GAUGAACGCUGGCGGCGUGCCUAAUACAUGCAAGUCGAGCGAACGGACGAGAAGCUUGCUUCUCUGAUGUUAGCGGCGGACGGGUGAGUAACACGUGGAUAACCUACCUAUAAGGCUGGGAUAACUUCGGGAAACCGGAGCUAAUACCGGAUAAUAUUUUGAACCGCGUGGUUCAAAAGUGAAAGACGGUCUUGCUGUCACUUAUAGAUGGAUCCGCGCUGCAUUAGCUAGUUGGUAAGGUAACGGCUUACCAAGGCAACGAUGCAUAGCCGACCUGAGAGGGUGAUCGGCCACACUGGAACUGAGACACGGUCCAGACUCCUACGGGAGGCAGCAGUAGGGAAUCUUCCGCAAUGGGCGAAAGCCUGACGGAGCAACGCCGCGUGAGUGAUGAAGGUCUUCGGAUCGUAAAACUCUGUUAUUAGGGAAGAACAUAUGUGUAAGUAACUGUGCACAUCUUGACGGUACCUAAUCAGAAAGCCACGGCUAACUACGUG